UACGGAGGGUGCAAGCGUUAUCCGGAUUCACUGGGUUUAAAGGGUGUGUAGGCGGGCAGUUAAGUCAGUGGUGAAAUCUCCGGGCUCAACCCGGAAACUGCCAUUGAUACUAUCUGUCUUGAAUUUUGUUGAGGUAGGCGGAAUAUGUCAUGUAGCGGUGAAAUGCAUAGAUAUGACAUAGAACACCAAUUGCGAAGGCAGCUUACUAAGCAAACAUUGACGCUGAGGCAACGAAAGCGUGGGGAUCAAACAGGA
rnacentral:rRNA from 1 species